UUCUUUCUUUCCUUUCUUUUCCUCUUUCUUUCUUUCUUUCUCCCCGCCCCAGACAGGGACUUGCCAUAUAGUUCAGGCUCACCUUGAACUCACUGUGUAGCCCUGGCUGGCCUUGAACUUGCAGUGAUCCUCCUGCCUUGGCCUCCUGAUUGUUAGGAUUAGGGGAAGUGGAGGCGGCGCUGUGCCUGAAGCCUUCGCCUGUGGAUCCGGUGCGACUCAGACGCUGCCAGAACUGAACUGAGAUGCAGGACGCCCCGCUGCUGAAGCGCUUUGCUGCUUUGCUGCCUUCUUCCUGCCUACCCUGCCAUGGACUGUUUCUCCUCUGCCUUCCACCCUGCCUUGGAGCCAGCUGACUAUGGACCGAAGCCUCUACAAACCGUCUUGACCUUAGUCAGUCACAGGGCUUUUGGGGAGUCUCAGCUGAGUGCCUGAGAAUCAUUGCGGUUUCUAAGCAGUCUGCACUGCAUAAUCUUACACUCUUCUCUCCACCUAUCAGCCCUACCUCCGUGGCGUCUCAUCUUCACAUCCAGAGUCUUGACAAAGGCGUUACAAAGUCCGGUUGUUGGGGAAAGUCUUGUGAAGAGCAGCUCUCAGGCUCUUAGCGUCUCCUGCUCUCCUUGGGCUAUCACUGGUGCUGUUCUGCGGUGCAGCCGCCUCUGCUCAGUGAGUCCACACCGCUCCUGGCACCACCUGUGCUGUGGUCCGGAAGGUAAUCCCGGCACCAGUCCAGGGGACACGGGAGCUGUGCUCGCCGGCCGAGCGAAUCGCCUUUCUGUGGUGCUUGUCUGCUAGCACCCGAAGAGCACGUAUCUCGGGUGCUUUGUUCAAUUCCAUGUUCGACUAUG
rnacentral:lncRNA from 1 species